GUAGGUGACAAGCGUUGUCCGGAAUUAUUGGGCGUAAAGCGCGCGCAGGCGGUUCUUUAAGUCUGAUGUGAAAGCCCACGGCUCAACCGUGGAGGGUCAUUGGAAACUGGAGAACUUGAGUACAGAAGAGGAAAGCGGAAUUCCACGUGUAGCGGUGAAAUGCGUAGAGAUGUGGAGGAACACCAGUGGCGAAGGCGGCUUUCUGGUCUGUAACUGACGCUGAGGCGCGAAAGCGUGGGGAGCAAACAGGGAUUAGAUACCCUGGUAGUCCACGCCGUAAACGAUGAGUGCUAAGUGUUAGGGGGUUUCCGCCCCCUUAGUGCUGCAGCUAACGCAUUAAGCACUCCGCCUGGGGAUACGGCCGCAAGGCUG
rnacentral:rRNA from 1 species